rnacentral:rRNA from 1 species
CGGCGUGCUUAACACAUGCAAGUCGAACGGAAAGGCCCUGCUUUUGUGGGGUGCUCGAGUGGCGAACGGGUGAGUAACACGUGAGUAACCUGCCCUUGACUUUGGGAUAACUUCAGGAAACUGGGGCUAAUACCGGAUAGGAGCUCCUGCUGCAUGGUGGGGGUUGGAAAGUUUCGGCGGUUGGGGAUGGACUCGCGGCUUAUCAGCUUGUUGGUGGGGUAGUGGCUUACCAAGGCUUUGACGGGUAGCCGGCCUGAGAGGGUGACCGGCCACAUUGGGACUGAGAUACGGCCCAGACUCCUACGGGAGGCAGCAGUGGGGAAUAUUGCACAAUGGGCGGAAGCCUGAUGCAGCAACGCCGCGUGCGGGAUGACGGCCUUCGGGUUGUAAACCGCUUUCGCCUGUGACGAAGCGUGAGUGACGGUAAUGGGUAAAGAAGCACCGGCUAACUACGUGCCAGCAGCCGCGGUGAUACGUAGGGUGCGAGCGUUGUCCGGAUUUAUUGGGCGUAAAGGGCUCGUAGGUGGUUGAUCGCGUCGGAAGUGUAAUCUUGGGGCUUAACCCUGAGCGUGCUUUCGAUACGGGUUGACUUGAGGAAGGUAGGGGAGAAUGGAAUUCCUGGUGGAGCGGUGGAAUGCGCAGAUAUCAGGAGGAACACCAGUGGCGAAGGCGGUUCUCUGGGCCUUUCCUGACGCUGAGGAGCGAAAGCGUGGGGAGCGAACAGGCUUAGAUACCCUGGUAGUCCACGCUGUAAACGGUGGGUACUAGGUGUGGGGUCCAUUCCACGGGUUCCGUGCCGUAGCUAACGCUUUAAGUACCCCGCCUGGGGAGUACGGCCGCAAGGCUAAAACUCAAAGGAAUUGACGGGGCCCCGCACAAGCGGCGGAGCAUGCGGAUUAAUUCGAUGCAACGCGUAGAACCUUACCUGGGUUUGACAUGGAUCGGGAGUGCUCAGAGAUGGGUGUGCCUCUUUUGGGGUCGGUUCACAGGUGGUGCAUGGCUGUCGUCAGCUCGUGUCGUGAGAUGUUGGGUUAAGUCCCGCAACGAGCGCAACCCUUGUUCACUGUUGCCAGCACGUUAUGGUGGGGACUCAGUGGAGACCGCCGGGGUCAACUCGGAGGAAGGUGGGGAUGACGUCAAGUCAUCAUGCCCCUUAUGUCCAGGGCUUCACGCAUGCUACAAUGGCUGGUACAGAGAGUGGCGAGCCUGUGAGGGUGAGCGAAUCUCGGAAAGCCGGUCUCAGUUCGGAUUGGGGUCUGCAACUCGACCUCAUGAAGUCGGAGUCGCUAGUAAUCGCAGAUCAGCAACGCUGCGGUGAAUACGUUCCCGGGGCUUGUACACACCGCCCGUCAAGUCAUGAAAGUUGGUAACACCCGAAGCCGGUGGCCUAACCGUUGUGGGGGAGCCGUCGAAGGUGGGACUGGUGAUUAGGACUAAAU